UAUAUAAAUAGAACUAUUAAUUUUUAAAGCUAUUUCAUUAUGUUUUAAAUAUAUCGUUAAUAUUUUUGAAUAGGGUCCAAAAAAUAAUUGAGACGGCCAUGGUUUCUAAGAAUCUCUGGUACUUUCAACUUUUUGAUUGUAUUACAGGUUGAGCACAACAUUCUUAUGCACAAGCAAUGACGGUAUCUGGGCUAACUCUGUGCCGGCAGCUGUGGUAAUACAUAGGAUGUAACCGUUAUCUGGAAUGAUUGAUUGGGCGUAAAGCGUCUGUAGGUGGCUUUUUAAGUCCGCCGUCAAAUCCCAGGGCUCAACCCUGGACACAGACAGUGGAAACUACCAAGCUUGAGUACGGUAGAGGCAGAGGAAAUUUUCGGUGGAACGGUGAAAUGCAUAGAGAUCGGAAAGAACACCAACGGUAAAAACACUCUGCUGGGCCGACACUGACACUGAGAGACGAAAGCUAGGGGAGCGAAUGGGAUUAGAUACCCUACUAGUUCUAGCCGUAUUUUCUUUUUUUAUCUCGUGACAAAAAUCUUU
rfam:Brassica napus, WGS project CCCW01000000 data, contig: 42395